rnacentral:lncRNA from 1 species
GACGGUAACGCCUACCUCACAGUCUUACAAGGCGGAUCAAAUGAAAGACUCGGAACAGAUGACUGACCCAGAGUAUGCUGAGUCAUCUACGUGUGAGUGCACUGUACAUGGGGCUGUACCAGUGUGAUCCAAACCAGCUUUAUCUCAUCUGAGAUGUUACGUCCCCCUCGAAGGCUCAUGUG